CUAUUUUGUCAGAUAAAAAUAGACCACAACACAGUUGAUUUCUUUUUUCUUUUUUUUCACUCUUUUUUUCUUUACAGCAAACAUCAACUUUUUUUUUCUUUUUUUCUUUUCAUAUUUAUUUCACCAUAUUUUUCUAUAACAAUAUUUAGCCCCCAACAUUUUGAACUCUCUCCUCUUGAAGAAUUACUCCACAAGCUCUUUAAAUGGAUAUGAAAUUUUUUUUACGAGGCUAGAUAGAGAAAAAAUUGGUUUAAGAACAAAAAGGUUCACAUAAAGGCUUAAAAUGGCUAACUAGGGAAAAUAAUCAUAAAGGUUGGCUAGAAAGGCUCAAACGGAGGGGGGGGGAAAUGCCUAUAUCAUUUCCAAGAUUUUAGAUGAAUUGAUGAAUGGAAAAAAAAGGUAUAAAGCAAGUUCUAGAGAUACAUGUAAAAUGAGAUUAUACGAACAAGAAUAAAUGAGAUUGAUGCAUAAUGGUUUAAUCUAUAAUAGGCUCAAAAGCUCACAAGGAGUACCUAAACUCACUAGAUUUACAUAUGAAACUUUAAAUCAUGCUCUAGUUUCACACCAAUAAGGCUAUGUGCAUUUGUUUUUCCAAGUCAUGAUCAUCAAAAAAUAUAGUUUAAACGAAGAUAAUGUAAAGAAUUAAUGUCAAACUUAAAUUUCUUGAAAGUUAGAGGAAAUAAAAACCGAAUAUCAUCACUGUAUGAAUUGGGAACCAACCAACAAUAACAAGACUCAAAGAAAAUUAAAAUGUUUUUGGAUUUUUCAGAAGUUUAUAUUUUUUAUGUAUUUAUUUACUUUAUUUUUUCUAGAACUAAAACGAAGAAGACUAAAAAAUGAAGAGAAGAGUAAAGAAAAUAGACUACAAAGGUACAUAAAAAAAUGAAUCAAUAAAGCUUUUGGACAAAGAAACUUCCUGGGUUUAAAGGAGA
rnacentral:lncRNA from 1 species